GAGAGAAGCCUCAGAAGAAACCAACCCUGCCAACACCGUGACCUCAGACUCCAGCCCCCAGAACUAGCCAUAGUUUGUCUUCCACAACUGGAGGUUUGAAAAGAAGGAUGAGGACACUGAAUCUCAGAGACGUCAAGUUCUUUCAUCGAGAUUCCAUAGAAUGUUCCCUGUUUCUUCAUCUAUGACAUGGGGAUAAUGUGAGUAUACCUACAUCAGAGGGCUGCGAUGAAGA